GACGAACGCUGGCGGCGUGCUUAACACAUGCAAGUCGAGCGCUGAAGCCUCUUUCGGGGUGGAUGAGCGGCGAACGGGUGAGUAACACGUGGGUGACCUGCCCUCAGCUUUGGGAUAAGCCUGGGAAACUGGGUCUAAUACCGGGUAUGACCUCUUGUUGCAUGACUUGGGGUGGAAAGCCAGUUACUUUGUUUCUGGUGGUUGGGGAUGGGCCCGCGGCCUAUCAGCUUGNGGUGGGUGAUGGCCUACCAAGGCGACGACGGGUAGCCGGCCUGAGAGGGCG
rnacentral:rRNA from 1 species